AUUGAACGCUGGCGGCAGGCCUAACACAUGCAAGUCGAACGAGUGGCGGACGGGUGAGUAAUGUCUGGGAAACUGCCCGAUGGAGGGGGAUAACUACUGGAAACGGUAGCUAAUACCGCAUACCAUCGGAUGUGCCCAGAUGGGAUUAGCUUGUAGGUGAGGUAACGGCUCACCUAGGCGACGAUCCCUAGCUGGUCUGAGAGGAUGACCAGAGACCGUGGAACUGAGACACGGUGCCGAAUCCUACGUGCGGCAGCAGUGGGGAAUAUUGCACAAUGGGCGCAAGCCUGCUGCAGCGAUGCCGGGUGUAUGAGGAAGGCCUUCUGGUUGUAAAGUACUUUCAGCGGGGAGGCGUUACCCGCAGAAGAAGCACCGGCUAACUCCGUGCCAGCAGCCGCGGUAAUUC
rnacentral:rRNA from 1 species